CUUACCGGAGGCCGUAUGGAUCCCGAUCCCACCCCUCUCCCGCGACGGAGAACCCCCAACUUCCGGUAAGCCAGUCUUUUCACUGCCUUAGCGGAAGCGUAAGGCAGUGACGUUA
rnacentral:ncRNA from 1 species